UAACAGAUAGCCGCCAUUUUGUGUGUUUUGUGUUCGUGAUAUUUCGGCAUUUUGUGACUUUGAUACGGUUCUUUUUACUUUCUAAGUAGUGCUAAACAGUUUUACAACAUGUAUUCCAACUGGAUAGUUAAAGAAUUAAAAAAUGAGUUGAGAAAACGUGGUGCAUCUUUACGAGGAAAAAAAGUGGAUUUUGUCGAAAGUUACAAUGUUGAUGUUUUAUUUUAACUUAAAAAACUUCUCUCAAACUGUUUCCGGUAGCUAUUAUUAGAGCUAGGUAUAUGACCAAAAUUUUAAUUUUGAAACAAAAUGAAAAAAUUGCUCUAGCAAAAUAUGCUAAUAUAUAUGAUUUGCUAGUGGAGCCAUGUGGCAUUUUCAUUAGACAAGAGCGCCCAUAUCUUGCUGCAUCUCCUGAUGGUGUGUUGGGCGAAGAAACUAUAAUUGAAGUGAAAUGUCCUUAUGCUAGCAGAAAACAUGAAAUAAAUAUAACAACGGUGCCUUACUUAGAACAAUGUAACGGGAUAUUGUCUCUAAAAAAAACCUGCCAUAUUAUUAUCCAAUCCAAGGGCAGUUAUACUGCUCAGGCAAAACAUACUGCAACUUGGUCAUUUACACCUACAAGGACAUCAAAGUGAUUUAUGUUGAAAAAGACAAUAAUUUUAUAAAUAAUAUGUUAAAUAAAUUAUUUUAUAAAUAAUAUAGUUAAAUUAAUUAAUCUUUUAUGAAAAUAUUUUCAAAGAAGCAUUGUAUGAAAAAUAUCUGUAUUUAGUCCGGUCAAUUUAGACCAAAAAAUGAGAGUGAAGUUACAUAAAGUCCCAACAAGCUGAAUUUCAGUGAAAUUGUUCAAAAUAUAAUUAUAAACAAUGUCUAGAAGUUCCCCAUCAUUCCCCUGUAAGGAAUUUUUUUUAUUCAAGGUCAAAGGUCAAAAAAAUAAGUUUUUCGCGAUUUUCAGCAAAACGGUAAGUUUUAUCAUAAAAGUACUUCAGACAAAAAUUGUAGACCAUAAAAUUAUCUAUAAAAAAUGUAUCAAUACUUUUUAUCUUACGAGCCACCGUUUCUGAGAUAUAACGAUUCAAAAAGUUAUAAAAGUUGUUAUCGCCAUAAUAUGCAUGAGUACGCCACGUAUAUACAUCUAGAGUUGUUAUAUUUUAUAUGAUAUAUAUAAUAGCUAUAUAUAAUAAGUCCUUAAAAAAACUACCUGUUUAGAUAAGCAUCGAUAUGCAUGUUUC